GACACGGACCAGACUCCUACGGGAGGCAGCAGUGAGGAAUAUUGGUCAAUGGGCGCAAGCCUGAACCAGCCAAGUCGCGUGAAGGAUGACUGCCCUAUGGGUUGUAAACUUCUUUUGUAAUGGGAGAAACCGGAUUACGUGUAAUCCGUUGACAGUACAUUACGAAUAAGCAUCGGCUAACUCCGUGCCAGCAGCCGCGGUAAUACGGAGGAUGCGAGCGUUAUCCGGAUUUAUUGGGUUUAAAGGGUGCGUAGGCGGUUUAUUAAGUUAGUGGUUAAAUAUUUGAGCUAAACUCAAUUGUGCCAUUAAUACUGGUAAACUGGAGUACAGACGAGGUAGGCGGAAUAAGUUAAGUAGCGGUGAAAUGCAUAGAUAUAACUUAGAACUCCGAUAGCGAAGGCAGCUUACCAGACUGUAACUGACGCUGAUGCACGAGAGCAUGGGUAGCGAACAGGAUUAGAUACCCUGGUAGUCCAUGCCGUAAACGAUGCUCACUGGCUCUAUGCGAUACACAGCAUGGGGUCAAGCGAAAGUAUUAAGUGAGCCACCUGGGGAGUACGUCGGCAACGAUGAAACUCAAAGGAAUUGACGGGGGCCCGCACAAGCGGAGGAACAUGUGGUUUAAUUCGAUGAUACGCGAGGAACCUUACCCGGGCUUGAAAGUUAGUGACGAUUCUGGAAACAGGAUUUCCCUUCGGGGCACGAAACUAGGUGCUGCAUGGUUGUCGUCAGCUCGUGCCGUGAGGUGUCGGGUUAAGUCCCAUAACGAGCGCAACCCCUAUCUUUAGUUGCCAUCAGGUCAAGCUGGGCACUCUAAAGAGACUGCCACCGUAAGGUGAGAGGAAGGCGGGGAUGACGUCAAAUCAGCACGGCCCUUACACCUAGGGCUACACACGUGUUACAAUGGCCGGUACAGAGGGCAGCUACUUAGCGAUAAGAUGCGAAUCUCGAAAGCCGGUCGUAGUUCGGAUUGGAGUCUGUAACCCGACUCCAUGAAGUUGGAUUCGCUAGUAAUCGCGCAUCAGCCAUGGCGCGGUGAAUACGUUCCCGGGCCUUGUACACACCGCCCGUCAAGCCAUGGGAGCCGGGGGUACCUGAAGUGCGUAACCGCGAGGAGCGCCCUAGGGUAAAACUGGUGACUGGGGCUAAGUCGUAACAAGGUAGCCGUACCGGAAGGUGCGGCUG
rnacentral:rRNA from 1 species